UCUUGUCAUCUUGGUCUGUCAGUUUUGUCUCCUCAAAUCUGGAAUUUGGACUGGCUUUGCCUUGCUGCCCUUCCUUGCGACACUGGCCCGGAAUCCCUCAAGGCUAGGGGGAAAUCCAGUCCCUGUUACUCCAUUUUGGCCAGAAAUUCAAGACAUUUCAGGCAGCAGAAUAAAUUCAAUCCUUGGUUCUCCAUCUUGUCCACUAGUAGAAGUUAGUUGUAUUGUCUUUGAGCUCAUCAUGAAUUCCAUGAAGACUGAAGAGAGCAAGUCAUU